UUAAUAUUUUUGCACCUAAUAAAGUCUCAGGGCCUGGGCUGGGGAGGCUCACCUUCCAGAUGGCUUCUCCAGCAAUUAAAGUGACUUGUUAGUUGGAGGCCUGGGAUGGCUGAGGACAGCUGGAGAGCUGUCCUUUGCAAGCGGUUCUGGUUAACAUCAACCAGGAAAGCUCUCUGUAAACACAUGAAUAAUUGAUUGUGCUGCGCUCACAUAGCUACUGCGGAUCUGAGCCCGGAUGACUCACUUGUGAGUCCUCCCUGUCGUCUGGAUGCCAUAACAUUGGAGGAAUGAUGACGGUUUCUUGGAGGUUCUUCUGUGGCCGGCGUAGCCAAGACGAAGACUGUAAUGGAUCUUCUUUCCUGUGAGACGGGACCUCUGUUGUGGAUGUGUGCCUGACGUCUUGCCUCACCCUGGUUGGUAAGCCACAUGUCAGCAGACAGUGUUCCGGGUGUUGUCUAUAGGCAGGAUGUGAGGGACUCUGCUUUUCUCUGUGUCACACCACAUUCUCAAGUGCUGGACUUCAUUAGCAGUGUCUGUGUUCCGAGCCGCUUAGGUAGAAAAUAAAUAGCUUUUUAAUGGUGUUUUGUUUUGAACUGUGAAAAAAAAAUGCUCAAAGCAGGAACAUCUCAGGGCCUCUCACAGAGAAGACUGUUUUUAGAGUGAGUCUGUCUCCCCCUGAUGUGAUCAACUUGGUGCCAUUGGUAACUUGUCUGUGGGUUGUGGUCACCUGAUGAUGAGUGCUGGAUGGACUCCUCAGUGAAAGACGUUGGCUCUUGAAUCUCCCUAACUGAAUCCGCUAUUUUUUUUUUUUAAAUAGCACCAAACAUUGGACUGUAGGAUGUAAUCUUGCCUGGAUAAGUUCUCUGGGACAAGGGCCUGGAUUACUUUCUAAACUUGUCCUAAAAUAAUCUCUUUUAACCUUUUGAUGGUUUAGAAAUUGAGGCAUACUCAGUAUUUUCAUGGCAUAGUUUUUCACAACACAUGAGAGGCAGAUAACUCCAGUGUCCUCGCACAGAUGGACAAGCAAACAUAGGCACUCAGUGGGAUGUUAUUCAGCCUUAAAAUUUAGCAAGCCUCUGGCAUGUGUUCAACGUAGAUGGACUGAAACCAGCCACCCAUCAUACAUGCCACACACUCCACUUAUGUGGGGACCUAGUAGUCAAACUUAGACAUGCAGAGAGAAGGGACUCUGAGGGUGGGGAGAGCAGGGGUUGGUGUCUAACGGGUUCAGCACUUCAGUCCUACAAGCUGAAAGGAGGUCCAGGCGGCCAUUGUGCAGCAGUGAGGAAUGGUUCCCUGGCAGAUAUUUGCUAAUAUUUAAACAGGAUAUGAAGAA